rnacentral:rRNA from 1 species
CAGUAGCCGCGGGAAUACGAAGGGGGCUAGCGUUGCUCGGAAUCACUGGGCGUAAAGGGUGCGUAGGCGGGUCUUUAAGUCAGGGGUGAAAUCCUGGAGCUCAACUCCAGAACUGCCUUUGAUACUGAAGAUCUUGAGUUCGGGAGAGGUGAGUGGAACUGCGAGCGUAGAGGUGAAGUUCGUAGAUAUUCGCAAGAACACCAGUGGCGAAGGCGGCUCACUGGCCCGAUACUGACGCUGAGGCACGAAAGUGUGGGGAGCAAACAGGAUUAGAUACCCCUGUAGUCCCUGUCUCUUAUAC